rnacentral:lncRNA from 1 species
GCGUGAAUUAUAUUUUUAGAAAUUGCAGCAGAAAUUAUCAUCUAUCAGAAGUUUUUGUUUUGCUUUUCAACUUCUCUUUUUUAUUUCUUAAGUGAAGAGUAAACAGUCACUCAAUCGACAUUUUAGUAAUUCAACUUUUUAAAUUAGGGGCUUUUCAGUUUUAGGAUAGUAUGAAUGGGUGUGAGACUGUGAGUGCCCCCGCAUACUUCACCUCAAA